rnacentral:lncRNA from 1 species
CUAGAAGAAGUCCUUUAUUUCCUCUUGUUGGAAGCUCCCAUGAAAUUAGGAAAGUGACGUCUCAUUCAAAGCAUGAUCUUGAGCUUUUGCGGGUUUAACUGGUAAGUUUACCUCUUUUCGUUUCCUUUCAAUUCCUCAAUCUGCAUUUCUCAAUUGUUUUCUUUUUAGUUUGUCGAUUUUCCAUGUAGUCCCUUGUUGUUGUAUGGUUUCAUCAAUGCCAGAGUUAUCUUCUUUGAAUAUUGUCUCCAGAACCCUGGUUUUUCGCCUUACACUUAUCUUAUUUUAGAUCUGUAACCUAUGUUAGUAGCAUAGUUGUUGUGCUCUGGCUUUGUUUUCCGUGAGUAGCGUAGUUGUUGUGCUCUGGCUUCGUUUUCCAUGCAUGUUAACUCUUUACUGUCUUCUAGCAAUUUAUCUACUCGUGAUCAUCAAUUAUUUGUGUGUUGUUCACCUGAUUGCCUUGUUCUUGAUUCUUAAAUUUGGUACCGAGUGUUUGUCCAAGUUGGGUAUUUUCCUCCCAUGCAAUGGUAGCUCGCAGUAUGUAUUAAAUUGUGUUCUCUCUGUCAUUUCGAAUGUAUAAUUAGCUAAGUAGUCGGCUAAUGUAUUCCCUUCCCUAUAAAUGUGUUCAAUGUUAACAGUAGAAUAUUGCAUCAGUGUUAGAGUGUCUUCCAUUAUAAUUCUAAUGUUCCAUGGUAUCUCCCAAUUUCCUUUUAGUAUGUUUUUCAAUAUCAAUGAAUCGGUCUCUAUUGUUACUCUCGGAAAUCCCCCUGUUGUACAGUGAUAUAUUGCUUCCUUUAUUGCCACUGUUUCUGCUUCCACGUUAGUUGUUUCUGGUAUCUCAUCUGCUUGUGCAAAGAUUAAAUUUCCUUCCCGAUCUCUUUGGCAAUAAGCAUAAGAACUCUUGCCUUUAUAGUAUUUGAAUUUGGGGCAUCCAUAUGAUCUUUUAGUAGGAUAUCCUUGGCUUGUAGUUCUCUAAGAAUUUUACCAUAUCUGACCAGUUGGUGGGAAAUUGUUUCAGACUUGGAAAACUUGACCUUGCAAAUUGCCAUACAUUGAGGGUAACCUGAUAGACAAGUUUAUUAUAUAUAUGUCAUUUUCCCCCAUGUCUGAUGAUAUUUCUUCUUCUUCAUAUUUUCCAACGUAUAAUUGCAGGCAUAAUCUUCAUAAUUUGUUGCAAGUUUGUGACCUGCAUGUGUUGUCCACCAUGUUAUUAGCACUUGGUUUAGGUUUUGUCCUUCUAAUCUUAGACCUGCAAAAUGAUCAAACAUCCUCCAUAGCUUAUAAGCUAUUGGAGAAGUUAAAAAAAGAUGUUCCACCGUUUCUUGUGUUGGAUUAUCACAGUACCAACACCUUGAUGACAUGUUCACCCCAUUCUCAUCAAUAUAUCAUCAGUGGGUAUUCUAUAUUUCCAUACUCUCCAAAUAAAGAAAAAUAUUUUGAAUGGAAGUCUCUUUUCCCACAUAUUAAGAAAUCUACUUUGCCUCACUGUCCUCUGUCUCACAUACUCCCAGGCACUUUUAACUGUGAAUUUUCUACUUUCUUCAAGCAUCCACCAUGUUCUGUCCAGUAUACCAUCAGAAGUUGGACUUGGGAUUGUUUUCAGUAUGUGUUGUACAAUAUCUUCUGAUAGCCAUCUUUUUAGUUUGUCUACUUUCCAGCCCUGUUGAUCUGCAAAUUCCUUAACGUCUAUCUCUUCCUCUUGACUGGUUUCAUAACUGAAGUAAUAUAGCUCUCCUUGAGUUGUCCAGUUAUCAAACCAAAAACUUGAGUCUCCUCCUUUAAUUUGCCACCAUAUUUGAUGUUCUACCAACUCUCUAAUCUUGAUCAUUGUUCUCCAUGUGGUGGAGGCUCCCUUACUCUGAGCAAUUACAGGAUGUAACUUUUUACAGUAUUUAUUACCCAUGUAAGAGCUCCAAAGUGUAGUCUUUGUUCUGUAAAUCCACCAUAAUCUGUAAAAUAGAGCUUUAGAUAUAUCAGCAAGAGAUCUAAAACUAAUUCAUCCUUCCUCCUUAGGUAGACAUAAUUUAUCCCAACUUAUCCAGUGCUUCCUUUUACUGUCUAUAGUGUUUUACAAGAAAAAUCUAUUGAGCAUCAUAUGUAUGUGUCUUAUCACCCCUUUUGGAGGAUAUAAAGCAGACAAUAAAUGUGUAGGAAUACUAUGCAACACAUGUGAAAUUAUAACAACUCUUCCACCAAAUGAUAACAUUUUUCCUUGCCAUCCCUAUAUUUUUUUUCCUACCUUUUUAAUCACUGAAUCAUAGUGGGAAAUAUUAUUUCUUCCAUAUAACAUAGGACAUCCCCAGUAUGUGAAAGGGAAAGCUCCAUGUUUUAUGUUGUUUAGUCUUUUGAUGCUCCCUAUCAGUCUUGUAUUCACCUUUUCAUGUCAUAAAAUGCAUUCUUCUCCAAAUUAAUUAGCUUUCCUGAAGAGUUUUCAUAUCUUCUUAGUACCCUAAUCAUCAUCUUCAUUGAUUUCUUGUCAAAUAAAAUUGUAUUAUCUGCAUAAGAAAGAUGGUUAAUAUUUGGGCUCCAUUUGGGUAGACCAUAUCCUUUGAAUUCUUCAUUUUCCCACAGAGCAUUCAAACUCCUCGUUAGUACUUAAAUUAUAAAAAGAGCCGGUGAUAAUGGAUCUCCCUGCUUGACUCCUCUAGAUGACUUGAAAAAUUCAAGAGCCUGCCCAUUUAUCAGAAUUGAGUACCAGUUAUUGGACAGAAGUCUUUAUACCAUGUUAAUUAAAACUUCAGAGAACCCAAAUUGUCUCAGAACUUUAGUGAGGAAUAGCCAUGAUAGCCUAUCAUAUGCCUUGGUCAUAUCUAGUACUUUCACAUUCGUUGUUUUUGUCCUCAUCCUGAUAUCCCUUAUAAUCUCCUGUACCAAAAGAAUAUUUUCCACUAUAUUUCUUCCUUUAACAAAACUUGUAUGGUUUCCAGAGAUGAUAGUAGGCAGAAUGUUCUUUAAUAUUUCAUGUAUAACUCUAUAAAUUGUGUUAUUACUGAAUUUACUCAGGCUAAUUGGUCUUACAUCUGCAUAGGUAUGCAUCUGGUCUUUUUUGGUAUUAAGACCAAAUUUGUGUGAGUAAUAUAUCUGGAGAAUCUCUUGGCCUACAAAGAAGGCCCUUACCAUUCUAAUUAUGUCUUCCUUUAUGAUGUUCCAGCAUGUCUGAUAGAAAAUACCUGUAAAUCCAUCUGGACCACAUGCACUUUCUUUAUUUAACCCAAAUAUUGUUGCUUUAACCUCUUCUUCUGUUGGCAAUUCCUCCAGCUUUUGAUUGACUCCUCUGUUACCAAACUAGGAAUAUGAUUUAAUAAAGAGAAUUCUUUUUGACAUUGAUCCUCUGUAAAUUUCUCCUGGAAGUAUCUUAUGGCUUCAACAGCUAUGUCUCUUUCCUCUGUUAGCCAAUCUCCUUGAGUAUUCUGUAUUCUAUUUAGCUUCAACUUCUUCCUUUUUUCCGUUACAUAUGAAUGAAAGAAUUUGGUAUUCUUUUCUCUCUCUUGAAACCAUUUCAGACCUGAUUUCUGUCUCCAGUACUCUUCUUCAAGAUGUAAGUAUCUGCAUAAUUCUGCUUGAUCUUUAUGUAACUCUUCUCUGUUAUGUAAGGUUGGAGAUUCUUCAAAUGUGACUUCAUGAGCCUGUAUUACAUCCUCUAGUGUUGCAAUUUGCUGAAACACAUUACCAUUUGUUUUCUUACUCCAAGAUCUGAGAGCAUGUUUCACCCUCUUCAAUUUCUGUUGUACCAUUUAAAAGGGUUACCAUAUAAAUCAAGUCUACAGUGUUCCUCUACUAGCUUUUCAAAAGAGGAAUGUAUAGCCCAAAAUUUUAAGAACUUGAAUGGUUUGAUAAUUUCCUCAGUAUUCUGUGAACAUUCUGACACUAAUGGAGAGUGAUCUAACCUUUUUUUUUAUAAGAUGCUUGACCUUCAUAGUUUGAAACAAGUUUAUUAAUCUUUGAUUUCCUAAAAUUCUAUCUAACCUUUUGAAGAUGCAUGCAUCCUCCGAUCUUCCACUCCACCAUUUGUAAGUGCUUCCAGUGUAUCCUAGGUCUAGUAGCAAUACAAUUGGCAAAAUCUUCAGUUUCCUGAUAAUAGACCGGCAACCCACCUAAUUUUUCUUCAAGAGAAAGUAUUACAUUGAAAUCACCUCCUACCAACCAUGGUAAGGAAAAGUGACUUGAUAUCUGUUGUAUCGAGUUCCAUAGCUCUUCCCUGUUAAUUGCAUUACAAGAUACAUACACUAUAGUGACCAAUGCCUCAACUCCCAUAUUUUGAUGUACUACUUGUAAUGUCAUUUGUUGUAUAGAAUCUUCUAUAACAUCUACAUGUACAUCUUCUGUGAAUAUCCAUAUUUAACCUGAGCAAUUUACCAAAGUAGUAUGAUGACCCAAUCUUCUUCUAUAUCUCUCCCAAUCUGAUGAAUCUUGAAAAGGUUCCAUCAGACCUAUUAACCAAUAAUUGUUUCUUCUAUUUAAAUUAGCCAGUCUCUCAAACGCUUGUUGAGUAUUGACUGACCUAAUAUUCCAUAGAAUGAUCUUAUUCGUCAGUUUUGAGGCAGCUUGCCUCUUUGGUAGUUGUCUUGUUUCUUGUGAGGUAUCUUUUUGAGAUUUUCCACCUUUGUUUUUUAGGUGACUCUCCUCCAUUACCCUUGUAUGUCUUCGAGAAAUGUCUCCUUUAGCCAUCUCUUUUAUAUUCUUCUCCAAUGUUUCCUUCUCAGUGUUCUCACUUCUGAUGUUGUUUCUGCCAAGGAAGCAUCAAUUUCUUCCUUGUCAGGAUCUAAAAUGACUUUUUCUGUUGUAUCUACUGCUUCUAUCCUUUCUUCAUCAUGUGCGUUUUGUUGCUUUCUUAAUUCUAGCUGAUUCUGACUUGUUGUCUGCUCUGUGUUUCCUAACUCAUCCGUCUUAUUUUCCCCUUGAGUUUUCUUUUCUUGAAUAACUUUCUCCUUUGAACUUAUUUCACAUAUGCUUUUCUCCUGUGUGCAUGUGUUAUUUGUAGGUGUUUCACUGCCUACAUUGUUUACUGUUAGAACUAUCUUGUGGUUGUGUUAUCUGAUUCACCUUUGUCCCUUUGACUUUUUUAAAAUUAAUAUCCACCCAUUGCCUUGUUCCCAUUUGCUUGUUGAUGUCUCUUUCUUCUUCAGAUUUGUUCCUACUAAGUUCUCCUUCCCUUUCCUUGUUCUCUUCUGUCUCCUUGGUCCCCUUUGUCGCACUUGUAGCAUCCCUUGUAUCAUCUAUUUUGUCAUUGUUUUGUAGAGUUGCAAAGGCAUUAUGAGUGCUUACUCCUUCGGUAUGUUUUCCAGGUUCCACUUUAUUUUUGCCAUUGUACAUCUCUAUUAUCCUUCCCCUUUUAUCUUUUGCAUAUUUAUUUCUUCGCUGCAUCCAUUCAUGCUUUCUUUGUGUGUUACAACCAACUUUACCACUACUUAGUAUUUUGGUCUAAGUUGUUGUUGUUCCCAUUUUGUCCUUAUUUUCCUCCAGGCUGUCCCUAAAUUUCCUUUCCAGCUCUGGGUGUAAUGCACGACAUUCUGUUUCUCUAUGUCCUUGUAGCUUACAAUGACUGCAAUAUUUUGGCAGAUAGUCAUACUUAAUUGUGAUCCAUUUAGAAUUUAAUUUUCCUGUGACUUCAUCCUCUUCUGCAAUUUUAAUCCUCUGUGGAUGUUGUGCUAAUAAAUCUACCACCACUUUAACCUUCGCACAACUAGGUCUAGUCUUGUUUUGUGUCGCCAUAUAUACUAUUGUUAAUGGUUUUCCAACUACAGAGGCUAGUGAGAAUAUUGCUUCUCGAGCAAAGAAAUUAGGCGGCAAGUCUGGAAAACUAAUCCAUGCUACUGCUAUUGAUGGCUCCUCUUCUUGAACAAACCAAGGAUUCCACUUCAAUGGUCUCAUCUGACAGUACAGGUUGUGCACCUUCAAAUAGUAUGAUGGGGUCGACAUCAUCUUCACAUAAUCCUCCAAUAGAGAUAAUCGUAUUAAAACAUGUUUGUUUUCUAAUAGCCCUAUGUUGCAUGGCCCUUUGAUCUCACAUUGUACUGGAAUUACUUUACGUAAUUCAUGUAAAUCUGGCUUAUCAUAAGAGAACUUCCCUAGAAUUGCAUAAUGUAAAUUCUCUUGUAUGAUCAUCUGUUGAACUUCUGAUGACUUCCCAAUGAUUUGUGGC